rnacentral:lncRNA from 1 species
AGGAUUUCACCCAGCUGAGAAGGGUGUYGGGAGAAACUCUGUGGAAAGGUUUGCUCCGCUUGAAUCAGACAGCAACAGACUUGUGUAUACAAUAUUGACAAGAAACACAGAGCAGCUGGGCUCUACCCCUGAGAACAGUGGAGCUGCAGAUGAAAACAUCUGAACCCUUCAGAAAAGGCUUUGGAUGAGGUAAUAUCUCAGUGCCUUGCUGGUGAAGGCAAGUAAUUUGUGCUGACUUUCCUCUUAGGACUUUCCUGCGGGGAAAAAAUUUAUCAAUGGAGAGAUGAUGGCGACCAGACCUGGACAAAAAGCUCUAAUAAGAGCAAAAUGUGCUGUCUUCUAUAAAUGUCCUGAAGACUGUGAUUGCUGCUUGCCUGGCAGCUUCCAGGCAGUCACACAUCUCUUCUUGUCCACGCGCAGUGUUGUGGAAGGACUCCUCACCCUCUCCAGGAUCUUCUCUUGAGGGACCUGUGCCUUAUGGUCAACCAUGAAUGGACUUCGUCAGUGAGAGUGAGCAUGGCUUGGGGAGACCACUGUUGCUUUGCUGAGAUGCCUGCAGAAGGACAUUGUUUUGGAUAGGCAUGUGCUUGAAUAGAAGUCUGAUCCUAAAAGGUGUUGCCCUGCAAGAGUGUUGAUCCCAGGGAGUCUUCAGGUUCCGCAUGUUUUAAGUUGCUUUGACUAUUCACCUGUCUUGCUUAGGUAAUAGCUAUAAUAUUCCCCUAAAAUUUGGUCCAAGAUUAUAAACUCAAAACCCAGGGUGCUGUCACUAUACUAAUCUCUUUUUACACAGCUGUCAAUCCAACUUGUAGGCUGGUGCCUGCCCCAUGGUGCAGCCACUGUACACUCUUUCUGUGCACCACCACUUUCCAUCAUUAYCUCCUCUAAU